rnacentral:rRNA from 1 species
GUUGAACGCUGGCGGAAUGCUUUACACAUGCAAGUCGAACGGCAGCACGGACUUCGGUCUGGUGGCGAGUGGCGAACGGGUGAGUAAUGUAUCGGAACGUGCCCAGUCGUGGGGGAUAACGUAGUGAAAAUUACGCUAAUACCGCAUACGAUCUAUGGAUGAAAGCGGGGGAUCGCAAGACCUCGCGCGAUUGGAGCGGCCGAUAUCAGAUUAGGUAGUUGGUGGGGUAAAGGCCCACCAAGCCAACGAUCUGUAGCUGGUCUGAGAGGACGACCAGCCACACUGGAACUGAGACACGGUCCAGACUCCUACGGGAGGCAGCAGUGGGGAAUUUUGGACAAUGGGCGAAAGCCUGAUCCAGCCAUUCCGCGUGCAGGAUGAAGGCCCUCGGGUUGUAAACUGCCUUUGUACAGAACGAAAAGGUUUCUACUAAUACUAGGAGCUCAUGACGGUACUGUAAGAAUAAGCACCGGCUAACUACGUGCCAGCCGCCGCGGUAA